UGCCAGCAGCCGCGGUAAUACGGAGGGUGCAAGCGUUGUUCGGAUUUAUUGGGCGUAAAGCGAGUGUAGGCGGUUUGACAAGUCGGAUGUGAAAUCCCAGGGCCCAACCCUGGAACUGCAUCCGAUACUGUCAGGCUAGAGUCCCGGAGAGGAUGGCGGAAUUCCCGGUGUAGGGGUGAAAUCCGUAGAUAUCGGGAGGAACACCAGUGGCGAAGGCGGCCAUCUGGACGGUGACUGACGCUGAGGUGCGAAAGCGUGGGGAGCAAACAGGAUUAGAUA
rnacentral:rRNA from 1 species